rnacentral:rRNA from 1 species
UACGUAGGGUGCGAGCGUUGUCCGGAAUUAUUGGGCGUAAAGGGCUCGUAGGCGGUUUGUCGCGUCGGGAGUGAAAACCAGGUGCUUAACACCUGGCUUGCUUUCGAUACGGGCAGACUAGAGGUAUUCAGGGGAGAACGGAAUUCCUGGUGUAGCGGUGAAAUGCGCAGAUAUCAGGAGGAACACCGGUGGCGAAGGCGGUCUCUGG